AUUGAACGCUGGCGGCAGGCCUAACACAUGCAAGUCGAGCGAGCGGCGGACGGGUGAGUAAUGUCUGGGAAACUGCCUGCUGGAGGGGGAUAACUACUGGAAACGGUAGCUAAUACCGCAUACCAUCAGAUGUGCCCAGAUGGGAUUGGCUAGUAGGUGGGGUAAGGGCUCACCUAGGCGACGAUCCCUAGCUGGUCUGAGAGGAUGACCAGCCAAACGGGAAAUGAGCAACGGCCCAGAUUCCUACGGGAGGAAGCAGUGGGGAAGAUGGCAAAAUGGGCGCAAGCCUGAUGCAGCAAUGCCGCGUGGGGGAAGAAGGCCUUCGGGUUGUAAAGCACUUUCAGCGGGGAGGCGUUACCCGAAGAAGAAGCACCGGCUAACUCCGUGCCAGCAGCCGCGGUAAUAC
rnacentral:rRNA from 1 species